GAUAGAGUAUACCCACCCAAACCAUUUCUGCUCUCUCUGUCUCUCUUCUGUCUUGCUAUCUCUUUUUCUCUCUGUUCUCUUUUUCUAGGAUAAGUAUUACAGUUUAUCAGAUUAUCACUCUCUUGUCUGAAGGGACCCAGUAGUCCGGCAGAUAAAAGGGCAACCCAGAGUCCCCAGGGGUCCUGACAGACAGGGAUCAAAGGAGUAGCUGAUUAGCCAAAGCAAUGUCGCUUUGAUAUCAGAAAGACAAUGAGAAAGAAAGAUAGAGCGACAGAAUGAGAGAGAAUUCAGAUGGAUGACAGUGUUUCAUCCCAUGUUUCAGCAAAUGUCUUGGUUUACCUGCUACAGAGUCAUCUCUUUGUCCUCUCUGUGGCUUUACAGGUCAAAGUUCAUCUUGCUCUGAUGAACUUCAUUCCAUUAGUCCGAUUGUGACUGACUGGUAAAGCUGGGCAGGAAGCAGUGGAUAAAGUCCAGAGUGAAAAUUGGCAGAAUGAAAGCGAGCAGCGCGUCUCCUGCCGAUUACCUCCAUCUCUCCAACUGUGUCAAAGUGACUGAAGCCAGUAUAAUAGUCAUGUAAUGUAACUGCAGCAAAUAGAAAUGACUUGCAACUUUAUUUAGCA